rnacentral:lncRNA from 1 species
GCCGGGGCGUCCCCCGCGGGAGCCCGCAGCCACCCGGGACGCGCAUCCAGACGUGGCGCUUCGGACCGGGCACGCUGCGCCCGGGGGCUCGGCGGACCCCGCGUAGCCGCCGCUUCGGAGCUUGUGCGGCGCGGGCUGGCCAGCGGGGCGGCCAGGGCCCGGCCCGCCUCCCCAGCGCCCGCCCGGCUUCUCCCCCUGGCGGUGGGAGCCUCGGCGGCCGCUGGCGACACUAGGCGCACUGAAGCCCGAGCCGAGCCGAGCCCGAGCCGCCGCCGCCGCCGCCGCUGCUGCGCACCGCUCCCGGGCUCCCUCCCAGCGCGCCGGCCGGGGUGUGGGGGGCGGCGGGCCGGAGGGGCGAGGGCGGGCCAGGGGGCGCACACGGGGGUUGGCGCGGAAGACAGGACCCUCAGCCUCGAGGGAGCCCCUAGGUGACCAGGCAAAAUGGCAGUUCCUUCCAGCUGGUCCUCAGAUGGGCACAUCUAUUAGCCUCUGCUCUUGUAAGAAGUUAGCUGCAGAACCCACAUGUGAAUCCUUGUAGGACUCUGGAGAAGAUCAAAUGGGAGCUUAGAUGUGGAAGCUCUUUGGAAACCAAGAAACACUCUGAAAAUGAAAAGGAUACCAACUUCAUCUCUCUUUAAGAAUACAAUAUUAGUUUAAAAGAUUGUUCAACUUAAAGCAAUCUUGUAGAGAUUGUCACCCAUGAUUGAUGCUGGGUGGAAGAGUAAACUGUUCCUGUUUCUCCAUCUUGACAGGAAGCAGAAGUUCUCCUUAGCUGAUUUUUCUUCUUGCCUUAUACUGGGUUCUUUAACACCAGAACAAAAAUAAAUAAAUAAAAGAAUCUUCCAGAAAUUCAUGAAGAGACUUCAGGUCAGGAAAGCCUGAACUUUCUCAUCCAACACCCGUUCAAGUCGGAGGAUGCUGAUUAAUUCAUGAUGGAAAGGUAUCAAUUUCACAGCCCAGACCUCUACAUUCUUGAAAUGCUCUUCUCAUGGGAGACAUUAAAUAAGCUUUGAAUUAACUGUCAGACGUUUGCUGAAUUCAGUUCUGAGCUUUUGAACCAAAAGCAGAUCUUCAGAACAAGAAACAAGAUAAUAAAAGAGAAACAUGAAGAAACUGAAGAUGAUUGGAGAAAUAUGAAUCAAGAUGAUUAGACCUAGCAGAGGGCUGGCUGGAUGGCAUUUAUGUUGACAAUGGACUCCUACACAGAGGAUGAUCAUGGUCUAGGACAUAAUAGUCAUUCAAUCAUCAUUUCUUAAAUGAUUUUUUAAAACAAGUGAAUGAAUGACCAAUUAUAUACCUUCCCUGAGCCAAUAAAAUAUAUUAAAAGUAUAGGCCUGGGCACAGUGGCUCAUGCCUGU